CAUGCAACCUGCUCCGGGUGGCAGCCGAGUUCUCGGGAACCGCGGCUCGGCCUGCAAGGCUGUUGUUUCAAGAAAUGAAAAUGAAGGGCGCCCUGGAAUAGGUUCGCCUAAGAGAGAGCUUGCAGGCCUCUGGGAAGCAAGCCAUCGUGUGGCAGAGGCCCAUGUGGCAAGGCACCAAGGGCGGCUUCUGGCCAACAGCCAGCGAGGACCUGAGGCCGUAGCCCGACACCCCUCCAGGACCUGAAUUUUGCCAACAACCAGUGAGUGACCUUGGAAGUGGAUCCUUCCGCCGAAAGCCCGGCUUUCAGACAGAGGCUGCUGAGACCUCAACCCCAGCCAGUAUCCAGGCUCUUGACACCAUCCGGAGAAGGAAUUCAAGAAGUUUUGCUCUUGUUGCCCAGGCUGGAGUGCAAUGGCGUGAUCUCAGCUCACAGCAACCUCCACCUCCCAGGUUCAAGCCAUUCUCCUGCCUCAGCCUCCAGAGUAGCUGGGAUUACAGGCAUGCACCAUCACGCCCAGCUAAUUUUAUAUUUUUAGUAGAGACGGGGUUUCUCCGUGUUGGUCAGGCUGGUGUCCAACUCCGGACCUCAGGUGAUCUGCCCACCUCCCAAAGUGCUGGAAUUACAGGCAUGAGCCACCAUGCCCGGCUAAAACUUUUUAAUAAACUUUCACCCCUGCUGUGAAACUUGCUUUGGUUUCUUACUCUGUCUUUAUGCCCCUUGGUUGAAUUCUCUCUUCUGAGGAGGCAAGGAUUCAGGUUGCUGCAGACCCGUAUGGAUUCACUGCUACUAACAUCACCAUACAACGGAAUAUAAUUUGGCCAUAAAAUAAAACGAAGUACUGAUACAAGCUACAAUGUAGAUGAACCUU